GGGCUGGGGCUCAGUGGUAGAGCACUUGCCUAGCAUGUGCAAGGCCCUGGGUUCAAUCCUCAGCACCACA
rnacentral:tRNA from 1 species